ensembl:lncRNA
GCGCAUGAUAAGACGUCUAUUCUGAAGUAGGAAGAGGAGGUGUGUGUGUGUGUGUGUGUGUGUGUGUGUGUGUGUGUGUGUGUGUGUGUGUGAGAUCACAAGGAGCGGGAAAAAUACUUAUAGCUCGUGCUGAGGAAAAGUCAGGCCCUUUUUUGAGAGACCGACAGCACACAGCACCUGACACACCACCCUGGGCCCUGGGUGAUAGAGCCAGACGCAGAGAUCCUCUCCUUCAUGCCUCACACCUGGUGCAGAUCUGGAGAGGCUUCCACCACAGCCCAGCAAAUAAUGUGGAAAAGAAAAAAAAGAAAAGAAAAUGGAUAGCCUUGAAAAGAACAACUAAAUGGAUCCUUUGAAGAGCAGAGCAAAGCAGAGGUCUGGACAAAGCAGAGGCAGAAUUCACAGAGAGUGAGAGAGGGCUUCAGGCUAUCCCUACUCGCGGCUAGCAAAGUUGUUCUCCCCGUCGGGACUACAAGAACACAAUCAGGGACAAAUGUCUGCCAGGGAGCGGGGACACACCUGAAAGAGCAGAGAAGAAGAGGAGACGAGGAGAAGAUGAGAGGACCGCCACCCAGCCCUACACACUAGGAUUAGUCCCAUCCUCUGCCAGGGAGCGGGGACACACCUGAAAGAGAAGAGGAGAAGAGGAGAAGAGGAAAAGAGGAGAGGAGCGCCACCCAGCCCAUCCUCUGCUUUGAUGGAUUAGCGUGUAGGGAAAUUGCCCGAUUAUUGGUAUGAACAUUUUUGAAAGUCAAAGAGAUGUGAUAGGGGGAGAAAAUGGGUGAAAUUGUGUCUGACAAAAAGAGGGAGAAAGUGUUUGUGGUGCUUAUCUUUACCCCCUUCCCCUCCUCUCUCUCUUUUCCCUCCCUCCCUCCCUCCCCCUUUUGGAAAAGAGAUGGGUAAAAAAGACAAACGAGGGCACGGAGAGGAGACAGAGGGAGCCUGGGCCCUCUACAGAGGAGACACAUUGAGUUGCCCUUCAUGAAAUAUUGUUAAUCAUCAUAUUAACAGGGCUGAAUGUGGGGAGAUAAGGAGUGUUUGAGAAGCAGAAUGUCCCAGCGAGAUAUUUAAAUCCUCUUUUAGCUCCUCCUUAUUCAUUCAUUUAGGUGAAUGAAUGUGAAAUGUAGCAGGACCUUUAUAGACGGAGAGACAGGAGCCCAAAAAUGAUGACAUAAUCACCUCCCAUUUAAUUGCUUGAUUAGUCAAUCUUAUGUCUCUUUCACUCUCUCUCUCUCUCUUUCACUCUCUCUCUCUCUCUCUCUCUCUGUCUCUCUAUCACUCUCUCUGUCUAUCACCCUCUCUGUCUCUCUCUCUCUCUCUCUCUCUCUCUUUCACUCUCUCUCUCUGUCUCUCUCUCUCUCUCUCUCUCUCUCUGUCUCUCUAUCACCCUCUCUGUCUCUGUCUCUGUCUCUCUCUCUCUCUUGGAUCCCAGUGUCUGUCAACUGUCUCCUUCCCACAAAGCGUCCAUGUCCUGUCAGACAGAUUACCCAUUAUGACAGAGGGGGCUGUAGCAUUUGCAUGGUUUUGAAUUACAUUGAUCUUAUACGUUAUUCUACAAUAUGUGUCGACACAUACCGAAUCUUAUCACUUAAAAUGCAC